rnacentral:sRNA from 12 species
GCGCCAGCAAAAUCUGGCGUCGGGAUUGGCGUCCCGGAUGAAAAAGGCGACAACAGACGCGCCAGCGUCUUUUUU